rnacentral:piRNA from 2 species
UGGCUACCACACUGGACAGCACAGGUCUAA